AUGCAUGUCUAAGUAUAAGCACUUGUACUGUGAAACUGCGAAUGGCUCAUUAAAUCAGUUAUCGUUUAUUUGAUUGUAUUUUUACUACAUGGAUACCUGUGGUAAUUCUAGAGCUAAUACAUGCGUAAAGUCCCGACUUUCAUGGAAGGGAUGUAUUUAUUAGACUAAAAGCCAAUGCGGGCUUGCCCGUUUCUUUGGUGAUUCAUGAUAACUUUUCGAAUCGAAUGGCCUUGCGCCGUCGAUGUUUCAUUCAAAUUUCUGCCCUAUCAACUUUCGAUGGUAAGGUAGUGGCUUACCAUGGUCGUAACGGGUGACGGAGAAUUAGGGUUCGAUUCCGGAGAGGGAGCCUGAGAAACGGCUACCACA
rnacentral:rRNA from 1 species